UUCCUGAUCUCUGAUUUCUUUUACGUUACUCAAACUCCCUUACAUUCUCCACCUCCUCUCUCCCUCUCUCAGCUUCUGUCUUUCACUUCGCAUCCUGUGCCAAAGUGGGCAGGGAGAAAGAGCUCGUGGUGAGGCGGGUUAAACGGAGGCCGCUGUACGUGCUCUUUCUUCAGCCACAACCCCGUGGAAGAGCAUGUUUGGUGGUAGCACGUUUCUAGGUCUCUCCCCCCGAGAUAGGCGUAGUAUGUGCAUGAGUCUACUCUUCCCGGCGCCAUGACCCUGCCUUGUGUUCUUUGACGUUGAAGCCUCUAGGCUGCAGGAAUCCAGCGGACUGCUGUCUGGCUGGUUGACAUCUGUUCUGCUGUCCUUGGGGCUGAGGUAGUAGAUUGAAUAGUUGUGGAGCCCUGCGCUCUCUCACUGAGAUAACUAUACAAUCUACUGUCUUUCCUAAGGCGACAGCCAAAUCAUCCACAAACAACAUGGACUCAUUUGAAAAAGUGUCUGCAUUCCUCCAUUGAGUUGGAAAGGAUAUUUGCUCACAUUACAGAAGUAAAAUGGGCUGGGAUUGACGUGUCACGUUAACAUCAUACAUACGCAAGCGUGUCAGGCGAUGGGACUGUCCUUUGGUGUCCUGACAGGGUGAGGUAGUAGGUUGUAUAGUUUGGUGGGAGGGAUCAAACCCUGUUCAGGUGAUAACUAUACAGUCUAUUGCCUUCCUUGUUGUACCAGCUAUCUGUCUGCUAGUGGAAAUUCCCUGGAGUUUAAAUAUCGCUUAAACCCUAUGCCUGCUUCACACCACAUGAACUUUGUAUAUGUAAGCAGAGUGUUUAUUUCUGCACCCAUAUUUACAGGUUACAGCAUUCGCACUGCCUGCAUAAACAGAGCAGUGUAGCAUGAGUAAUUCACUAAAGUCGGUCUACAAAAAAUACUUUUAUGAAACAGCAAAGUAAUGGAGCAAACUCCGCAAAAAACAUGCUUUAUUCAGUAAAUCUGACUGAAUCAAGAAGAGUUAAUAAAUAAAUAAAUAAAAGGAAUUUCGGUGCAUUUAAAUAAUCAGAAAUGACAGUAAAGACUUUUAUAAUAUUAUAAAAGAUUUCUAUCAUGAAUUAGAACUUUCUAUGUAUCUGAGAAUCCUGAAUCAUUGUUUCCACAAAAAAAAAAAAAAUCAGCAUAUUAUGAU